GUGAUCAUAUCAGUACUUGUGCACUGAAUUUCAUCAGAACUCUACAGUCAAACAUGAUUGAGCAAAAGUAGUACUAUGAUGGGGUGAUCCUCUAAAAAGUCCUUGUAUUGCACCUC